AAAAACGGCUCGUUACCAACGGGAACACUGAUUGGUUAGUAAGGUGAACUUGAUGAUUGUUAACAAACAAUUAAUCUAAUUUGAUUUGAUCAGUUGGUUGAUUCUCUUAUUAACAGUUGUCUUCAUCUUUUAGCCAACACCCAAAAGUUAAUUACAAUGGUUGUUAACAACAAUUUAUAAAUCAUCUUAACAGUUAAUCUUCAAUCUUAAAUAAACAACCAAUUGAAACCAUGUGAGUCUAUAUGAGAGAUCAAAUUGAAUUUUUAAUUCCAACGGUUAAUCAGUUUUAUUGUUUUUCCAUUUGUAUUUUUUUUUUCCUCUUAAUUGUUGUUAAUCUUUAAUUGUGAUAUCGUAAUAAUGAUCAAAGGUUACUGGCUUGUUAAGUGUUUCUUUCCUCCAUUGGAAUUGAUUUUCCGCCAUUAAUAUGAUUAAUCAAAAGUUCAUCUUAUUGAAUCGCCAUUUUGUUUUCUUUUUAUUUGUUUUCUUUUCCAAUUUUGUUUUUCUUUAAUUAAUUUGAUCAAUUUGAUUAACACAUUUCCCUUUAAUUGAUUGUCUACAAUUAUCAUUCGUCCAAGAGAUUAUCAACUGAUUGUGAUUGUGAUUUUUUCUUUAAUCACUAAUCAUUAAAACUUACAUCUUUUUGGUUAAUCAAUUUUCAAUUUCUUAUUUGCUUGGUGAUUAACUUAAAUUCUGGUGGAUCAGUGAAACUUAAUCAAUAUCAUCUUGGUGAUUACAAUUUAUUUUGUUUAAAUUGUCAUUUGUUUUCCUUUUGGAUCCAUAGGGAUAAUUUUAUUUACACUUUUGUAUUUUAUGAGGAAAGUUAAUUACGAUUGAAUUGUAUUCCCAUUGAAUUGGAAUGGUGAUUUGGAUCCAUCGUUGCUGUUUAAUGAUUAAUCAUCAAUGAUUUAACCUGUUCCGAUGAAAACAAUAGGUUAUCCUGAUGAUCAUCACAAUCAUAAUGAUCAUUUGUCUACCACCAUUGUCAAUUAUUCAGCUGUCAUUACAUUUGUUCAAUAUGAAUUUAGUCAAUUCUAUUGUAUAAAUCAUGAUUUAUUACAGAAAAUGAGUAAUCAUCUCUUCAGGCAAUCAAUGGCGUUUUCUUCAUCACCAAAACAACCUUAUUAAAUCGAUAUUAUUAAGAUUUUAAUUGCUUCUCAUGAUCAUAUCAGAUAAUCAUCUUGAUCGUCAUCAACAACAAUCAAUCAAAACUUUCAGUUUGCUCCAAAAACAAUUCACUUUGAGUAAUUUUAUCCUCAUCAUUUGUAUUUCUUGAUAAUGAUUAUAUAUAAAUUCCUCCAAAAUUUAUUUAAUUCAAUAGGACAACAACAGUUAAUUACUGUUAAAUUACCUUUGUACAAAUCAAUAUAUUACAAUGAUUUUAACAAAAGAUUACAAUUAGUUGAUUGUGAUUGGAAUUACAAUUUACACGAAACCAAAUGACGAUGAUUUCUCAAGUGGGAAAGACAAUUUAGAGUACGAAGCUU